rnacentral:rRNA from 1 species
GACGAACGCUGGCGGCGUGCCUAAUACAUGCAAGUUGAGCGCUGAAGGUUGGUACUUGUACCAACUGGAUGAGCAGCGAACGGGUGAGUAACGCGUGGGGAAUCUGCCUUUGAGCGGGGGACAACAUUUGGAAACGAAUGCUAAUACCGCAUAAAAACUUUAAACACAAGUUUUAAGUUUGAAAGAUGCAAUUGCAUCACUCAAAGAUGAUCCCGCGUUGUAUUAGCUAGUUGGUGAGGUAAAGGCUCACCAAGGCGAUGAUACAUAGCCGACCUGAGAGGGUGAUCGGCCACAUUGGGACUGAGACACGGCCCAAACUCCUACGGGAGGCAGCAGUAGGGAAUCUUCGGCAAGAGACGAAAGUCUGACCGAGCAACGCCGCGUGAGUGAAGAAGGUUUUCGGAUCGUAAAACUCUGUUGGUAGAGAAGAACGUUGGCGAGAGUGGAAAGCUCAUCAAGUGACGGUAACUACCCAGAAAGGGACGGCUAACUACGUG